GCGGGCGUGAUGGAAUGGUAGACAUACCAGACUUAAAAUCUGUUGGGGCGUAGCCCCGUGUGGGUUCGAGUCCCCCCCGCCCGCACCA
rnacentral:tRNA from 1 species